GCUUUGAUGUGGCAGGAGGAGUGUUUAAGCAUUUCUCUCUCCCCCUUGAAGUGCUUCUCCCUCCUGGUGGUACUGGGGAAGGAGAGGCAGGGCACACGCAGGUGAGAGAGAGCAUGUGGCCCUGCAGAUGAGAAAGGCGGCACAAAUGAAGGGAAUGACCUGGAGCCUCACAGUUUUUUACUGGAAGUAAAAAAAUCAAUCCAUGACCUUAAAGAACUUUAUGAAUUCCUAGCUUAGGAAUCAAUGCACACCGAUUUUUGGGUCUCCGCUUGGGUUGUGCAUGUACUCUAUCAAGCGAGGAAAGCUGUAUUUUGCUGGGGUUGGAUUGGGGAUGAGCAAGUGCCAUUUCUGCCACAUUGCCAAGAGUCAAAAAGAAAAAUGAAAAAAAAAAAAAUCUUUUGCCCAGUGAAGGUCUCAGUCCAGAGCCUGGGUCUACUGGCUGUGCCUGCCAAUUUCAGGGUUCUAAGGUAGCUCCAUCAGAGGAUGAGCAUCAUGCAUUCCUGAAAGCAGGAUCCUGAUUUUUCCUCCCCAACCCCUUUCCAUGGCCCCAAACAUUUCCACCUACAACCCCCCUUUCCCAAGAUGGUUUUCUAAGCUUUGAUUUACAGGGUGAAGGGUUGCUAGGAGAAGAAACGGUGGGAGAUAAACAGGACGUGUCAUGGAAAGGCACCUUCAUAAUUUCCAUUUGAACAGCAUAUCUUCCAUUGGAAGAACACUCUUCCGUACAUUAUGUCCUUUGAUCAUCGACCUCUGGAGCUGGCUGGAGCAUGUAUCAGCUCCUCAUUUACAAACAGGUCAUGGUGGUUAAGGAAGCUUGGGCCUUGAUUAAGACCCUCUAGCUGAUAGGGCCACACCCAGCCCUUUACCCAGCAUGUGUUCAUCCUAGUCUCCUACACUGGGCUGGCUCCUGUGAUACACAGAGGACAGAACAGCUCGGCUGUUAUGGAACCUCCAGGCUAAAGGAGAACAACCUUUACGUGUAGGGCAAAUGUGUCGGCAUGUACAUGAAGCAUGUGAAGGAGGUAACGUGAUGGAGUCAGUGUACAAGAAUACGCUCAGGGACCCUGAGGUAGAGAGGCCGGCAAAGACAUCCUGAAGGUACGGCCUGGGUUGCUGCAGGAGUUGAGUCACCCUGGGGAUGCCAGGUUCAGCAUCCCCAGCACUGAGCAGCAGUCAUGGGGCGCAGGCUCACAGGGCGGCUCAGCUGCUGGGGACACCGCCGUCAGGGAUGGCCCUGGCACGUGGCACGUCAUGCCGCAGGGGAUCUCUGCAUCCCAGCACCCCACAUUCCUGCUCCUGAGUGGGGCUGCCAUUGCCUGGUGCCUUGUCCCGAAGCCCAGUGUCCUGCUGUCUUCCCUUCCAAGUCUGCUCAGUCAACAGCUCUUAUUUUUUCUCUCCAUUUUUUAGACGACUUUAAUAAGAAUUAUUAGUCUCACAACUGCUUUCUUCAAGAGCUGUAUCUGGAAUAUUUAUUCUUUUUUAUUUUUUGGUUGUGAUACAAAAAGUAUGAGUUCUAGUCUCAUAAAAAUUUUUUAAGUGUACCGCAUGUUGUUAACUCUAAGGACAAUGCCAUACGGCAGAUUUCUAGAACUUAUUCAUCUUGUAGGACCAAAACCUUACACACAGUGAACAGCAAAUUCCUCUUUCCUCCCCACAUGCCUUGGCGACUGCCAUUCUGCUCUUUGCUUCCAUGAAUGUGACUACUUUAGAUACCGCAUGGAAGUGAGAUCAUGCAGUAUUUGUCCUUCUGUGUCUGGCUUAUUUCCUGUAACACAUUAUCUUCCAGGUUCAUUCAUGUUGCCACGUAUGGCAGGAUUUCCUACUUUUUAAAGGCUGAGUAAUGUUCCAGGUCAGUGUUCUUUAUCCAUUCACCUGUCUAUGGACAUUUAGGUUGUUUCUAUAUCUUGGCUCGUGUGAAUAGUGCUGCAAUGAACAUGGGUGUGUAGAUAAUUUUUGAGAUCUUGCUUUCAAUUAUUUUGGAUAAAUACCCAGAAGUGGGAUUGCUGGAUCAUAUGGUGGUUCUAUUUUUAAUUUUUUGAGCAUCUUACAUUUUUCUUGAAUCUGGAGUCCAUCCUCCUCUCUUAUUCCCCCAUCUUUCUUAGUUCAUUCAGGAUCUCAUAAUUUCUUACAUGAAAUACUGGUGUCUCUUCCUUCCAUGUGUAUAUUAUUUAAUUUUUUAAAUGGCCAUUGUUGUGGAGUAACCAACUUUAGCUAUUAAUAAUGAUUUCUCCUGUUUUUUAUUUAUCCACUUUCUUUCCUCCUUAAAACAAUAAGUCAGAAGCACUGGCCAGCACUAUGGGCAUGAGGGGACCCCUGAGUGGGGGACGGUCCGCCUGCUGCCUGGAAUUGCUGGAGCACUUCCCAAUCCUUGGCUCAAUCUGUGAGGCAGCAUCACCUCAAAAUCUGUGGUUAAAGUUUUCUAACAACUUUAUCAGACAGGACACUUAAAGGGAGUUCCAAAAAUGUGAUCAGUCUUAUGCAUCUAAACUGGUGGCUGCAGUUCCCAGAUACUAGCUCCGUGUAUUAUCAAUAAAUCUGAGAGACACUGAGAUGUCAUGUUGAAACAGAGCAGAGCCUCAUUCCUCUCCCUGCACCACCCUCACCCACAGGAGCCAGAGGGGGCUUGCCAGGAAGUGCAUCUCAUCAUUUCACUCCCAAAUUUAAACCCUCAGGACCUCUGCAUGUCUGCAUAUUUGAGGCCACAAGUCUUAGUAGGGUCCUGGGUGCCUCAGCCCCAGCCACCUGUCUCCCCAGCCUGCUUCCUCACUAGCCAGCCUCUCUGUUCUGUUCCCUUCAUGGAAUCACUUACCAACCGCAGCAGGCCCAUGCCCUUCCAUGCCCUUUAUCAGACAACAGCUCUCCUCUCCCAAUCCCCUUGUCUCCUGGGCAACUUCCAAUCGAUCUUAAACUCUUGUCCUCAGACAUGAAUUCUUCCAGAAAGCCCUGCCUGAUUCCCCGGGCUGGGCCCUGACCCACCUCCCAUGGCAACUUCUCAGAGCUGUCAAGCUGCAGGGCAGCUCCACGGUGGGCUUAGCGUUCAGUGGGCCAGGCUGCUGGGCCAGGCCAUGAUGUGUCAGCGCAGGCUGGUGACAGGCAGAGAUGGUCCUUCAGGAGAAACCUGCCCCUCCACUCUUUACAGCACGGAGGGCACAUUGGGUAGAGAUGAAUUUGAGGCCUUUCGAGGGUUGGCUUCCAUCAGGCUGCUAGCACAGAAAAAUAUAUACCAGUAGCUUAAAAUGAAAGAUCAAGAAAUAAGGUGUUAGCCAAAGUGACUUCUGGCAAGAAAGGUUAGUACUUUGGGAAUAAAGUUUCCUCCCUUUACUUGGGCCUGUGGGUCCUUCUUUUCACU
rnacentral:lncRNA from 1 species